GGGGAAUCUUGCGCAAUGGGCGAAAGCCUGACGCAGCGACGCCGCGUGCGGGAAGACGGCCUUCGGGUUGUAAACCGCUUUCAGCAGGGACGAAAUUGACGGUACCUGCAGAAGAAGCUCCGGCCAACUACGUGCCAGCAGCCGCGGUAAGACGUAGGGGGCGAGCGUUGUCCGGAUUUAUUGGGCGUAAAGGGCUCCUAGGUGGUUCAGUAAGUCGACUGUGAAAAUCCAAGGCUCAACCUUGGGACGCCAGUCGAUACUGCUGUGACUUGAGUUCGGUAGAGGAGUGUGGAAUUUCUGGUGUAGCGGUGAAAUGCGCAGAUAUCAGAAGGAACACCAACGGCGAAGGCAGCACUCUGGGCCGAUACUGACACUGAAGAGCGAAAGCGUGGGGAGCAAAC
rnacentral:rRNA from 1 species